AUGUUUAAAAGUUAUCACUGUGCUAAAACUGGAGGUGGCAACAAACUCACAUUUGGACGAGGAACAUUAUUGUCUGUUCUACCCAAAACAGACAGGGACCGUCCUUCGGUUUAUCACCUCAAUUCAUCUAAGCCAGUGACAGGAGUGCCAGAGUCAGUCUGCCUGAUCACCGACAUCCCAUCUGUGGAAGAGACACUGCUCCUGGAUAAUAGAAAACUAUCAUCAGAAGCUGUGCUGGAUAAGUCUGACAGUGAUGUGUGGAGGAACAGUAUAGCGACAUGGAAUGAUGGAGAUUCUUCUCAGCCACUUCACUGUGCACUAAAAUAUGGUGGAAUGAAUAUAUUUGCAGUAUAUGAUAAAGAUACAACUGACAAGGCAUGUCUAUCCAGAUCACUUGAUGAGAGUUUUAAAACAAAUAAGAACUUAAACAAUAUGUCCUUCUCUGUAUUUGGAUUGAGGUUUUUAGUCAUUAAGGGGAUACUAUUUAACUUGAUAUCCACUCUGAGACUCUGGACAUUUUAGGCAUUCUGGCCACAGAACGUGCAUUAUAGAAUGUGAUCAUAUAUAUAGUCAUCAAACUCAUUUAUAAUAAACAGGAUUACUUUGUGAACAUUUUUGAAGGAAAGAGAUAAAAAUCAUAUUUCUAUUAGCUAUCCUGGACACCCUACUAAAUACAGCGUGCCAACCAUUUCUGCUAUUCAUAUGGAGGACAACAUUGUGAAAGUAAAGGUGGUAUAGCAACCAGCUGGCUACAAUCAAGUGAUUUUUAAUAAAACAUUAAGCUCAUCAUUGAGAUAGAUGGUAAUAGCACGUCCACUGACCUGAGUUGUACAAUAGCUGUGACAAGUCCACCACAGAACUGACAUAAAGAACUGACUCUCCGUUAAAAUGCUUAAAGAUCUUCAUUUAUAUGGUGUCAUCACAUCCUGCACUGCUCAAUCAUAAAUACAACUGGACUUUUCUAGCUCUUUAGACGCUCUCUAGGAGUUUUUCCACUUUUGUUAUCUAUAAAAAUUGGAUUAAUUUUUCAUUAUCUAUUAUUGUACAAUUGGACUGACUUCCUCAGAGCUGUAGUGCAUGUGUACACAUCCAACCCAAUGAGCAUUCUGCAUGCCCCUGGUCCCACUGUACACACUGUGCACAUUAGGUAUGACAUGCACGUGCUCCAGAUGCAAUAAUGGGACAGAGGAGGAACAGGUGCAAUGUGAGU